AGCGUUGUGGACCCACCUGAUUCCAUGCCGAACUCAGAAGUGAAACGCAAUAGCGCCGAUGGUAGUGUGGGGUUUCCCCAUGUGAGAGUAGGAC
rnacentral:rRNA from 1 species